AGACAAAGUACCCGCCCCUGACCUCUUGUUUGGCAACCACUGUCGCUUCAAAGUCACGCGUCUCGUCGACGAGAUGAACACGCACCGCAGACACACUGUGGCAUUGGUCUGCGCCUGUGCCACGCCCGCUGGACACUACACUACGGCGCUGUCCUGGUCACGUCCUGUCUGUGUCCCCGCCAUCUCCUAGGCCCUGUGGUAUCAUAUCCAAAUAUGCUUUGGACGUGUAUCGGGGCGUUUUUGGAGUGUGGCUACGGCGUCAGAGAGCUCGUGGCACCGUCUAGGACCUACAGAGGUGCUCUAGGGCGUCGCACAAGGGCUGGGUCGCCCGGAUCAUCGCAGCCAUGGUGCCCACACGCGUGCUCAUGUACUCUGCUGCUAACCUCCGUGACUGACAUCGCCAGACGCGUCACCUGGCGGAAGAACUCUUGGUGUGAAGCUUUGUAAACACAGGGUGUGAAGCUCUGUCUACCGCUGUGGUGACUCCUUACGUAGAAUCUCGGGGACAACCAUGACGAUGUUGUGAUUGUGUCUCCGCCGUAACUUUUCAUGUCCUU
rnacentral:misc_RNA from 1 species